rnacentral:rRNA from 1 species
GCUACACAUGCAGUCGACGGGAUCCAUCAGGCUUUGCUUGGUGGUGAGAGUGGCGAACGGGUGAGUAAUGCGUGACCGACCUGCCCCAUACACCGGAAUAGCUCCUGGAAACGGGUGGUAAUGCCGGAUGCUCCAGUUGAUCGCAUGGUCUUCUGGGAAAGCUUUCGCGGUAUGGGAUGGGGUCGCGUCCUAUCAGCUUGACGGCGGGGUAACGGCCCACCGUGGCUUCGACGGGUAGCCGGCCUGAGAGGGCGACCGGCCACAUUGGGACUGAGAUACGGCCCAGACUCCUACGGGAGGCAGCAGUGGGGAAUAUUGCACAAUGGGCGCAAGCCUGAUGCAGCGACGCCGCGUGAGGGAUGGAGGCCUUCGGGUUGUAAACCUCUUUUAUCGGGGAGCAAGCGAGAGUGAGUUUACCCGUUGAAUAAGCACCGGCUAACUACGUGCCAGCAGCCGCGGUAAAAUUU